rnacentral:lncRNA from 1 species
AUACGAUCGGUAUGAUGUGUUGUUACUAUGAAAAUAAAUUAAAUAUUUAAAAUAAUUAUCUAUAUAUUUCUCAAAAUUUCAAAAAUAUAUUAUUUAUCUAUUUUUUUUCAAUAUAUUACUCACAUGUUCCUUCGUUAUUCCAAAAUACUCAUAGUUACCAUCCAUUAAGUUAAUUUAGGUUAAACGUAAGUUAAAUAUCUAUCAUAGUUUAAAAAAAAAACUUAAAAUAACUAUUUUGCUCUUAAUUCAAGGGCAAAUAAGAAAUGUUGGUGAUAAAAGAAGGGUAUAUUUGAAAUGACCAAAAUUAAGAUACUUUUUGUAUUCCUAACUUAAGAACAAAUAAAAAAAGUCGAUGAUGGUAGAAGAGUAUAUUUGAAAUGACAAAAUAGUAAUUUUAUAUAAAUAAUAACUAUCAGUAACAAUUCAUUAACAGAAUUUAUCUGUAGAGAUAUAUUUGAAAUUGGUUGAAAUGUAAAAAAUAUAUUUUUAAUAUUAGUUUUGUAAGAGAAAUAAAUUAUAAAAUUGAAAACUUUUCAGCGGUAUAUAAACAAUUGUUCCAAAAUAUUUUAU